UGCAGGUCGAACGGUGAAGCCCCGCUUGCGGGGUGGAUCAGUGGCGAACGGGUGAGUAACACGUGAGCAACCUGCCCCUGACUCUGGGAUAAGCGCUGGAAACGGCGUCUAAUACUGGAUAUGAGCCUUCAUCCUAAAUGGUGGGGGUUGGAAAGAUUUUUUGGUUGGGGAUGGGCUCGCGGCCUAUCAGCUUGUUGGUGAGGUAAUGGCUCACCAAGGCGUCGACGGGUAGCCGGCCUGAGAGGGUGACCGGCCACACUGGGACUGAGACACGGCCCAGACUCCUACGGGAGGCAGCAGUGGGGAAUAUUGCACAAUGGGCGGAAGCCUGAUGCAGCAACGCCGCGUGAGGGAUGACGGCCUUCGGGUUGUAAACCUCUUUUAGCAAGGAAGAAGCGAAAGUGACGGUACUUGCAGAAAAAGCGCCGGCUAACUACGUGCCAGCAGCCGCGGUAAUACGUAGGGCGCAAGCGUUAUCCGGAAUUAUUGGGCGUAAAGAGCUCGUAGGCGGUUUGUCGCGUCUGCUGUGAAAUCCCGAGGCUCAACCUCGGGCCUGCAGUGGGUACGGGCAGACUAGAGUGCGGUAGGGGAGAUUGGAAUUCCUGGUGUAGCGGUGGAAUGCGCAGAUAUCAGGAGGAACACCGAUGGCGAAGGCAGAUCUCUGGGCCGUAACUGACGCUGAGGAGCGAAAGGGUGGGGAGCAAACAGGCUUAGAUACCCUGGUAGUCCACCCCGUAAACGUUGGGAACUAGUUGUGGGGUCCUUUCCACGGAUUCCGUGACGCAGCUAACGCAUUAAGUUCCCCGCCUGGGGAGUACGGCCGCAAGGCUAAAACUCAAAGGAAUUGACGGGGACCCGCACAAGCGGCGGAGCAUGCGGAUUAAUUCGAUGCAACGCGAAGAACCUUACCAAGGCUUGACAUACGCGAGAACACCCUAGAAAUAGGGGACUCUUUGGACACUCGUGAACAGGUGGUGCAUGGUUGUCGUCAGCUCGUGUCGUGAGAUGUUGGGUUAAGUCCCGCAACGAGCGCAACCCUCGUUCUAUGUUGCCAGCACGUAAU
rnacentral:rRNA from 1 species